GACGAACGCUGGCGGCGUGCUUAACACAUGCAAGUCGAACGGAAAGGCCCUGCUUUUGUGGGGUGCUCGAGUGGCGAACGGGUGAGUAACACGUGAGUAACCUGCCCUUGACUUUGGGAUAACUUCAGGAAACUGGGGCUAAUACCGGAUAGGAGCUCCUGCUGCAUGGUGGGGGUUGGAAAGUUUCGGCGGUUGGGGAUGGACUCGCGGCUUAUAAGCUUGUUGGUGGGGUAGUGGCUUACCAAGGCUUUGACGGGUAGCCGGCCUGAGAGGGUGACCGGCCACAUUGGGACUGAGAGACGGCCCAGACUCCUACGGGAGGCAGCAGUGGGGAAUAUUGCACAAUGGGCGGAAGCCUGAUGCAGCAACGCCGCGUGCGGGAUGACGGCCUUCGGGUUGUAAACCGCUUUCGCCUGUGACGAAGCGUGAGUGACGGUAAUGGGUAAAGAAGCACCGGCUAACUACGUG
rnacentral:rRNA from 1 species